AGCAAGCCUAUAUAUAAGUAUACAUAUUUUUUUAUUAUUGUCCAAUGAGUUAAAACAGGGAUUUAAUAUAGAAAGUAGACUAAAAAAUUAAAUCAAACACAAUGUUCACUAGACAUGCGAACCUUUUUAUAUACAUUGGAUUGUUGCUGAUGCAUAUUUAAAGUUUCGAAUCCUAUGUAAGAUAUUUGGUUGAAAUUAUUUAUCUGAAAAUGAGGAAUGUAUCAUUUCAUCGAGGACGUAGAACUACGACGGAUUUUUCCCAAUGAAUUUCCUCAAGACACCGUUAGGAGAAGUGGAGCUGUAGAUCCUGAAGUAUGCACUUAGGAAGAUAUGCUGAGUUACAAAGAUAUUUCAAAUAUCCCAAAGCUUUCUUAAACAGUCAUUUUGAAGAACUUAUUUGUUACGAUGAAAACAAGAAAAAGAUUUGUAGAAUAGACGUGGACCGAUAUACCCCUGAUGAAAACUUUUAUUUUAUGUCCGCGACCCAAGAUAGUCAUGUAGAUAGGCGAAGAGUUUAUUGUAUGUUAUUAUUGUGUUUUACCGAAGAUGAAUUAGAUAGAGUUGUUGCUUCUUUCUAAAGAAAUUACAUGCAGCUAAAUUAAGAGUUUAAAAUGUUAACCGUCUUUAAAUUCAUAAGGCUAACGUACAUUCUGAUUUAGUCUUUUUUUAAA